CCGGGCGUAGCGCAGAGGCAGGCGCGCCACUACCGCAUGGUGGUCCACGCCGGUUCGAAUCCGGCCCCUUGGC
rnacentral:tRNA from 2 species